rnacentral:rRNA from 1 species
CCUACGGGAGGCAGCAGUGAGGAAUAUUGGUCAAUGGGCGAGAGCCUGAACCAGCCAAGUCGCGUGAGGGAGUACUGCCCUAUGGGUUGUAAACCUCUUUUGUCGGGGAGCAAAAGCCGGACGUGUCCGGCUGUGAGAGUACCCGAAGAACAAGCAUCGGCUAACUCCGUGCCAGCAGCCGCGGUAAUACGGAGGAUGCGAGCGUUAUCCGGAUUUAUUGGGUUUAAAGGGUGCGCAGGCGGAUUUUUAAGUCAGCGGUAAAAUCGUGGGGCUCAACCCCAUCCAGCCGUUGAAACUGGGGAUCUAGAGUGUGCGAGAGGUAUGCGGAAUGCGUGGUGUAGCGGUGAAAUGCAUAGAUAUCACGCAGAACCCCGAUUGCGAAGGCAGCAUACCGGUGCACAACUGACGCUCAGGCACGAAAGCGUGGGUAUCGAACAGGAUUAGAUACCCGGGUAGUC